UACGAAGGGGGCUAGCGUUGUUCGGAAUUACUGGGCGUAAAGGGCGCGUAGGCGGUGUGUCAAGUCAGGCGUGAAAGCCCCGGGCUCAACCUGGGAACCGCGCUUGAGACUGGCACGCUCGAGUUCGGGAGAGGAUGGUGGAAUUCCCAGUGUAGAGGUGAAAUUCGUAGAUAUUGGGAAGAACACCGAUGGCGAAGGCGACUUACUGGACACAUAUUGACGCUGAGGUGCGAAAGCGUGGGGAGCAAACAGG
rnacentral:rRNA from 1 species